rnacentral:lncRNA from 1 species
AAUUUAUUUCUUGUUUCAUGCUUGUGCUGCCAAACCUGAGCACAUCUGAAAUUUUACAACUCUACCUGGAUUAACAUAGACAGUAGUCAGAAGACGCCCUGAGAUUUCCUGUGUGCUGUGGUCAGAUCUCAUGUUGCCUAGUCUAUAGAGCUAAAAGUGGAAUUUGGAGAUGAUGGUGAUGAUGGUGGUGGUGGUGAUGCUGAUGCUGAUGAUGAUGCUGAUGAUUUGGUCCUUUGAUUAUAGUGUGACACUUCCAGCAAAUCACUGCCAUGGCACAAAAAGUACUGUGACUGAUGGUUCACAGUUCCCAAAGCUGACAUGCUGUUUGUAAAAACUGUUGCUUGGUGCUGUGAACUGGAUGCGUUGUAUACCAUCUGCAUGUCUCCAACAUGUUCCUCCUUUGAUUUUCCUUCCCAGAUGGGUCUGUAGUUGUGAUUUAACAUAAUUUGAGACUUCUGGCUGUUACUCAAGCUCUCUUUAGAGGAAUCCACAUCUAACAGAAGUGGGUGGCUUAUUCACAUCAAGAUGCUUCCUACCUGAGCAAGCAUGGCUUUCUCUUUGUCCCCCAGAGAUUUGCCAUAAUGCCCUUACCUACCCCCGCCACCAAAACCAAAACCCAACAUGACUAAACAUGUUCUAAAAUGUGCUAGCAUAUGAAUUAGGAUAAUUCAGUAUGUCAGUAUAUUUAGCUACAUAAAUUGUAAAGCGAAGCUCAGUUCUUUUUGUUUCGUAAUGGUGGAUAAUAAUAUCUCAACCUUCCAUCAAGAUCCAAGCACAAAAGUAACCAUCAACUCCUUGUAGACUUGUAGAUUAACCACAUGGAAUCUGAAAGCAGUGUCGAAGACUCUCUGUGUGGCGAGCAUUGUGUAACUGCUGGUAGAAGGGAUGAAUCUUAUAUUAUGCUAUUAAAUUCCAGUUCAUUGAUAGCCAUUAAAGAGAGGUAGUCUGAAUACUGGUGCUAGGUAGUGGUAGACUUUCAGUUAGGAGUUUUAGGAUGCCACAUGCUUCUAGGCUCUAAGAGAGAUACCAGCUUGCCUGAUUUUAUUUUCUGUAUUUUUUGUUUGUUUGUUUGACAUCACUGGACAAUGUAACAGAACAAUAAAACUCAGAAAUAGUUUCUUUCCAAAUCUGAAGGAAAAUACAUAUCCAAGUUCAUCAUCCACAGUGCUCCAUGCAAAAGAGGAGGACUCUGUAGACAAAAGUAGAGCUGCUUGUUUUUUAAACUCCCAGCCAAAAGAGAAGGCAGAGCAUGAGUUUCAAGACAGAUUUUACUGUACAUGUACAUUUAAACCUAGUAAAUGUGUGGACUUUCAACAGAUACCCAAGACCGUUGUUCCCUGAGAACUUUCUUUGCAUGGAAUACUGAAUUGGGCCAUAAAUCAGACUCAUUUCUGCUUGAACAUUUUUACUUGCUUCCAAAAAAAAAAUCUUGCUAAUAAAUGCUGUAUCUUGUCUUAUAUUCUUAAUCAUUCCAGGAAAUUCAGAAAACUUUGGGAAAAUUGAGAAAAAUGCAUAUAACAUGCUAUGAUCUUAUGACUAUUGCAGAAGUAUAGUUUUGAUGUGACAUAUUCAAUAUUUUAUUUAUGUAGUAUUAUAUAAAAGCAUUAUUUUGCUAUUAAACAUUGAAGACAUUGUGAAAAUCUGUUAUAUCUCAUAGACCUAAUAAGAGUCCUUCUCUAUACUUAACCCCCAAAUCCAGGUGUGUUCAGUAUUUCCUGUUUAUGUGUGGUUCUGAAGGGCGGAUAAAAUACCUCUUGACCUUUUAUUACUCUGUGUCAUUACUCUUCUAGGGUAAUGUUUGGCUUUAUAAAAAUACUCCAGUGGCAUAUGAUAAAGAUGUCACUGCUUGUGUGGUGGAAAUAGUCAAACUUUUUAACAGAGAGUGUUGGAACUAAGAUCAUUACAUGGGAAGAAAUACGUGCCUGCACAGCACCAUGUCAGAUGAGAAGCAGACUCCAGAGAGACUCAAGGACUACAAAGUCACAGCAUAAAUUCCAAGGGGGGUAAACACAUUGUUACAGGUUGUACUUCUGCACAUAACAAAGAUAAUUAUUUUAAGUAACUAAGCUGAGAAAUGGCAGGUGUGACAUAUUAAAAUGAAGUAUUUCUUCUCAGGAAAUGUCAUCUCAAUACUCAUAGGCUCAGGACAGACAUUUCAAGGGACUGCCCAUCAAAAUGUAAAAUUUUUUAAAUGAGAAAAUAUCAAUACAGAUGUUGUUUACAAAGGAAAAGCCUGGGUAGCUAAUAACAAGAAUUGCUCAAAUUUAUUAGUAAACUGAGAAGUGAAAAUUGGAGUAAAUGCUACAUCCAUUGUCUUGGUAAUAGUAAUAUGAUUAAUUCCCAGCAUUAGGAAUUCAACACUUUGGAAGUGCUGAGUGAAAUUUGUCUCACAGUUCUCCUUUGGCCCAGUCGUCUUACUUCAGGAUUUCUGAGUGAGAGAACUUCCAGGAGACAAAUAUUAAGGCAGACGAUUAGACAAGGAUCUUUUCACCUUGGGAAGUUAAUGAGUUAAGUUUGCCAGAUACAUAAUGUAGAAACUAACACAGCAAUUAGGAGCAACUUGCUAUAGAGAGAUAGAAUAAUAAUAGUCUUAACAUUUUAGCAUAAAGGAGAAAUAAGCUAAAACAGUGCCAUUCUGUCACCUUAAAGUAUAUACAUUCCUCCACACAUAUCACAAUCACGCAUCAAAUUCACGAAGAGUAUCCACUUAGAAGAGGGAAAUGGGAUGGGCUUAGUGAUAAAACAUACAUCAGUAGCUUUACUGCAGCCAGGGACGCAUCCAUUCUUAUCUCCCACAAAGUAUUUUACUAACAUUGAACUAGAAUCUGAGACACAAAACUGUAAUUUACGUAAGGUUGCAUUAUAGGAGCAGAGGUAGCAUUCAAACUCUCAUGUCUGACUAUCAAGCCAUUUCCCCAGUGUGUAAACACAAAGAGGGAAGAGAACGAAACUCAGUCUCGAUGACUGACGUACGCCAAGGGCGUUCCAAGUGUACACUGGCAAAGUUCUGACCUGAGCAUGAUCAGGAAGCCAUCGCCACUGCCAACACGUGUCAAAUUUCUCCCAAAAUAUUCCCCGUACUAAUUUGUAAUCAUUUAAUCCUUCUAACUGCUUGAUGUUUUUACCCUACUUCCUCAGAAUUCCCGAUCUGCUUUUUCUAUAGACUAGCUUACAUUUUUACAAUAUAGACUGUUUACAUUUUUUUAGGAUUUUAUAUAAAUGAAAUCAUGUUUAUGUAUAUCCAUGUGCUGUCUUGCUCUUUUUCUCGAAAUGAAACAUUAAGAUCAAUUUGUGUUUCUGUCUCAAUAAUCAUUUUUAAAUUUUAUCUGGCUAUAAUGUAAGUGUACCAAAGUCUGUUUACACACUCACCUGUUUAUACACAACUUUGUCAUCUAUAGUUGUGGAUGCUACUAAUAAAGUUAUCACCAACAGUCAUGG